rnacentral:lncRNA from 1 species
UCUUAGUUUUAAUUACAGAUGGUACAAUCUGGAAUCACCCAGGAAAGUCGUCUCAAGGAGAAGUUGUGUGGAUUGCUUGCCUGUGAGGAGUUUUCUUAGUAGGGUAGCUGAGGUGGGAAAGCUCGUCCUGGACACGGGUGGCAGUUUUCCUCAGCUCAGACCCUGGACUGAAGAAAGAAGAAGAUAAGAAAUUUGUUCAGCAAGCACCUGACAUCCCUGGAACGCCUCCUCCUUCUAAUGAGACCUCUCAGCGCCUUAGCCUUCAGCCAUGACCUUUGCCCACCCUGGAUAUUCCUACCCUCCUUUCCCAAAACUAUCUAACCCUCGAUCAUCCUGAAUAAAGUUGAUCUGUAUCCCGGA